rnacentral:rRNA from 1 species
CCUACGGGAGGCAGCAGUCGAGAAUCAUUCACAAUGGGCGAAACCCUGAUGGAGCAACGCCGCGUGGGGGAAUGAAGCCCUUCGGAUUGUAAACCCCUGUCAUGUGGGAGCAAAUUAAUAAGCGAGUACCACAAUAUGUAGACCCUGCUAACUGUGUGCGAGCAGCCGCGGUAAUACAGAGGUCUCAAGCGUUGUUCGCAAUCACUGGGCGUAAAGCGUGCGUAGGCUGUUGCGUAAGUCGUGUGUGAAAGGCUCGGGCUAAACCCGGGAACGGCAGAUGAUACUGGGAGACUAGAGUAAAGGAGGGGGAGGCGGAAUUCGCGGUGUAGCAGUGAAAUGCGUAGAUAUCGAGAAGAACACUGGUGGCGAAGGCGGGUUCCUGGACAGCAACUGACGCUGAGGCACGAAGGCGAGGGGAGCGAAAGGGAUUAGAUACCCGGGUAGUC